rnacentral:rRNA from 1 species
GGGUGAGUAAUGCAUAGGUAACGUGCCCCUUAGUCUGGGAUAGCCACUGGAAACGGUGAAUAAUACCGGAUACUCCUUCUUUCUUAAUGAGAGUCGGGAAAGUUUUUCGCUAAGAGAUCGGCCUAUAUCCUAUCAGCUAGUUGGUGAGGUAAUGGCUCACCAAGGCAAUGACAGGUAGCGGGUUUGAGAGGAUGAUCCGCCACACUGGUACUGAGACACGGACCAGACUCC